UACGAAGGGGACUAGCGUUGUUCGGAAUUACUGGGCGUAAAGCGCACGUAGGCGGCAUCGCAAGUCCCAUGUGAAAGCCCACGGCUUAACCGUGGAAGUGCAUGGGAAACUGCAGUGCUUGAGUACUUAAGAGGAUCGCGGAAUUCCCGGUGUAGAGGUGAAAUUCGUAGAUAUCGGGAGGAACACCAGUGGCGAAGGCGGCGAUCUGGGAAGAUACUGACGCUGAGGUGCGAAAGCGUGGGGAGCAAACAGG
rnacentral:rRNA from 1 species